rnacentral:tRNA from 1 species
GUGCCCGUAGCUCAGCUGGAUAGAGCAACGGAUUUCUAAUCCGUAGGUCGCAGGUUCGAAUCCUGCCGGGCACA